rnacentral:other from 1 species
AUAAUUCUACGGUGUGCGUUAGUCCAAAUAAUUCAACCGACAUAGACGAAAAGGGAGUUCGGGUUCAGCAGUGUAGAGCAAGCCAUCUUAGAAUGGAAGCUUAAAGCUGUUGACAGGGCACCCACCUUGAAAGAGGCGGGUGUGAAUUAGUUGGAAGGACGGCACCGCGGAAUUUAA